rnacentral:lncRNA from 1 species
GUGUGGGGAUAUCUGAAUCGAGUAUGUAGCCUAUUUUCUCAUAGUUCAAAACAAUUUUGAGGUUUCAAAGCCAAUCCUUGUAAUUGGUUCCGGUCAGUCGGUUGGUCUCAAGAAUACGGGUCAAAGGAUUUGAAGCUGACAUUGUAUCUGCAGAGAGUAAAGAUUCUAGUUAGACUUUUGUACUUGAUCCUUAAUCUGUUCUAAGAUCUUUUAGAACAAAUGUACCUCCCACUAUUUUCUCGAAUCCCUUACACUCCCCUGGUAAGAAAACGGAAAUCCUACGCGACUAGGAUUUCUAGUAGGUACUGCGGUCU